UUCAGUUCAGUAUGGUUUAAUGUUUGGAUUCUUAUCGGGCAGGUUACACCCCAAAUUAUUCUUAUUACAGGUAACUGAGACCAGAUAAAUCAAUUCAAUCACUCUUUCAACCUUGGACUCAAUUAUGGUGUAACUGGACUUUGAAAAUGGCAAUAAUUAGGUGCAACUACAGCCUGAGAUGAAAAUCAAAGUUACGAAUAAGUAUCAAUCCUGCAGAGAAAUCCACCACCCUGGAUCUCCAUGAACCUGAGUCAAACAGCAUUUCUCCUCUUCCAUAGCUAUCUGGAAUAGCACAGCAAAAGCCUGUAAGAUGACAUAACAUAACCCCUGGCGUUUGGGGCGAACAUUUUUUCUUCAGAUGGAUUAGUUCAGAUAGACUUGGAGAUCGACCUGCUAAAUCAUCGUCAGAGUGCUCUCUGGUUGAUUCCAGUACUCCAGCUCCCCGAGAAGAGUAAGGUAAGUUGACCAGAGAGCGUCUCCUGUCGACACAGGACAGUGAAUACACUGCGGUCGGUCAACCUAAGCUACGUCGACUCCAGCUACAUAAUUCACAUAUCUGGAGUAGCGUAACUUAGUCAACUUACCCCGGUAGUGUAGACAAGGCCACACUGUAGAGCAAUUGGCCAGCAUAGCAGCAGCUGAUCUCUCCCCAUUAGUUUUCAGCCACAAAGGGAACUUUUAUUUCUAGUUGGAAAGGUGGAAAUUGCAGACCGCACUCAAGGUUGGUCCAUGACAGGCUAGCGGGGAUGUU
rnacentral:lncRNA from 1 species